rnacentral:rRNA from 1 species
UACAGAGGGGGCAAGCGUUAUUCGGAAUUAUUGGGCGUAAAGGGCGCGUAGGCGGCUUUGCAAGUGGCGGGUGAAAUCCCUCGGCUUAACCGAGGAACUGCCUGUCAAACUGCAUGGCUUGAGACCAGGAGAGGUGAGUGGAAUUCCCAGUGUAGCGGUGAAAUGCGUAGAUAUUGGGAGGAACACCAGUGGCGAAGGUCGGCUCACUGGACUGGUACUGACGCUGAUGCGCGAAAGCGUGGGGAGCAAACAGG